GUCGACUGUUGCAAUCUGAAUGAAUUCGUUUUUUAAAAACAGAAACAAGACAUUUCAAGCCUGGAAAAGCUUCUUGACUGUAGCAGCCAUGUAUUUCCCCUGAUGCUCUGCAAGUGCCAACUCUGCUUCGCUUGGCUGUCUCGAUCCAUCACCAGCAAAAGCUCCUGCCCCAUAAGGAGACCCCCCUCGUAUUGUGUCUAUAUUGAACAUACCAGCACCAAAAGUGUAGCCGAUGGGAACAAACAGCAUUCCAUGGUGAGCUAACUGG
rnacentral:misc_RNA from 1 species